UGGCGGCGUGCCUAAUACAUGCAAGUCGAGCGGAUUGAUGGGAGCUUGCUCCCUGAUAUCAGCGGCGGACGGGUGAGUAACACGUGGGUAACCUGCCUGUAAGAUCGGGAUAACUCCGGGAAACCGGGGCUAAUACCGGAUAAUUCAUUCCCUCGCAUGAGGGAGUGUUGAAAGAUGGCUUCUUGCUAUCACUUACAGAUGGACCCGCGGCGCAUUAGCUAGUUGGUGAGGUAACGGCUCACCAAGGCGACGAUGCGUAGCCGACCUGAGAGGGUGAUCGGCCACACUGGGACUGAGACACGGCCCAGACUCCUACGGGAGGCAGCAGUAGGGAAUCUUCCGCAAUGGACGAAAGUCUGACGGAGCAACGCCGCGUGAGUGAUGAAGGUUUUCGGAUCGUAAAACUCUGUUGUUAGGGAAGAACAAGUACCGUUCGAAUAGGGCGGUACCUUGACGGUACCUAACCAGAAAGCCACGGCUAA
rnacentral:rRNA from 1 species